rnacentral:rRNA from 1 species
AUGAUUUUAGGUGCUUGCACUUGAAAGAUUUAACAUUGAGACGAGUGGCGAACUGGUGAGUAACACGUGGGUAACCUGCCCUUGAAGUAGGGGAUAACACUUGGAAACAGGUGCUAAUACCGUAUAACAACCAAAACCACCUGGUUUUGGUUUAAAAGACGGCUUCGGCUGUCACUUUAGGAUGGACCCGCGGCGUAUUAGCUUGUUGGUAAGGUAACGGCUUACCAAGGCGAUGAUACGUAGCCGACCUGAGAGGGUAAUCGGCCACAUUGGGACUGAGACACGGCCCAAACUCCUACGGGAGGCAGCAGUAGGGAAUCUUCCACAAUGGACGAAAGUCUGAUGGAGCAACGCCGCGUGAGUGAUGAAGGGUUUCGGCUCGUAAAACUCUGUUGUUGGAGAAGAACAGGUGUCAGAGUAACUGUUGACAUCUUGACGGUAUCCAACCAGAAAGCCACGGCUAACUACGUGCCAGCAGCCGCGGUAAUACGUAGGUGGCAAGCGUUGUCCGGAUUUAUUGGGCGUAAAGCGAGCGCAGGCGGUUUUUUAGGUCUGAUGUGAAAGCCUUCGGCUUAACCGGAGAAGUGCAUCGGAAACCGGGAGACUUGAGUGCAGAAGAGGACAGUGGAACUCCAUGUGUAGCGGUGAAAUG